rnacentral:rRNA from 1 species
AUGAACGCUGGCGGCGUGCCUAAUACAUGCAAGUCGAGCGAACAGAUGAGGAGCUUGCUCCUCUGACGUUAGCGGCGGACGGGGGAGUAACACGUGGAUAACCUACCUAUAAGACUGGGAUAACUUCGGGAAACCGGAGCUAAUACCGGAUAAUAUAUUGAACCGCAUGGUUCAAUAGUGAAAGACGGUUUUGCUGUCACUUAUAGAUGGAUCCGCGCCGCAUUAGCUAGUUGGUAAGGUAACGGCUUACCAAGGCAACGAUGCGUAGCCGACCUGAGAGGGUGAUCGGCCACACUGGAACUGGUACACGGUCCAGACUCCUACGGGAGGCAGCAGUAGGUAAUCUUCCGCAAUGGGCGAAAGCCUGACGGAGCAACGCCGCGUGAGUGAUGAAGGUCUUCGGAUCGUAAAACGCUGUUAUUAGGGAAGAACAAAUGUGUAAGUAACUAUGCACGUCUUGACGGUACCUAAUCAGAAAGCCACGGCUAACUACGUG